UACGGAGGGUGCGAGCGUUGUUCGGAAUCACUGGGCGUAAAGCGCGUGUAGGCGGCCCACUAAGUCUGAUGUGAAAGCCCGGGGCUCACCCCCGGAAGUGCAUUGGAAACUGGUGGACUCGAGUCCCGGAGAGGAGAGUGGAAUUCCUGGUGUAGCGGUGAAAUGCGUAGAUAUCAGGAGGAACACCAAUGGCGAAGGCAGCUCGCUGGGACGUGACUGACGCUGAGACGCGAAAGCGUGGGGAGCAAACAGG
rnacentral:rRNA from 1 species